UCUGGUUGAUCCUGCCAGUAGUCAUAUGCUUGUCUCAAAGAUUAAGCCAUGCAUGUCUAAGUACAAACCUUUACACGGUGAAACCGCGAAUGGCUCAUUAAAUCAGCUAUGGUUCCUUAGAUCGUCUCUUCCUACUCGGAUAACUGUGGAAAAUCUAGAGCUAAUACGUGCUUACAAGCCCUGACCUCGCGGGAGGGGCGCAUUUAUUAGAUCAAAACCAAUCGAGGCUUGCCUCGUCUGCUUGGUGACUCUGGAUAACUUUUGUGCUGAUCGCAUGGCCUCUGCGCCGGCGACGUAUCUUUCAAGUGUCUGCCCUAUCAACUUACGAUGGUAGGUGAUAUGCCUACCAUGGUUAUAACGGGUAACGGGGAAUCAGGGUUCGAUUCCGGAGAAGGAGCCUGAGAAACGGCUACCACAUCUAAGGAAGGCAGCAGGCGCGCAAAUUACCCACUCCCGGCACGGGGAGGUAGUGACGAAAAAUAACGAUACGGGACUCUUUUGAGGCCCCGUAAUUGGAAUGAGUACACUUUAAAUCCGUUAACGAGAAUCUAUUGGAGGGCAAGUCUGGUGCCAGCAGCCGCGGUAAUUCCAGCUCCAAUAGCGUAUAUUAAUGUUGUUGCAGUUAAAAAGCUCGUAGUUGGAUCUGAGGACUCGAAUCGUCGGUGCAGUCAACGCUGUUACUGUUGAUUCGGCCUACCUAGUCGGUGCUCGCUCUUGGUGUUCUUAAUUGAAUGCCCUGAGUGCCCGACAUGUUUACUUUGAAAAAAUUAGAGUGCUCAAAGCAGGCCAUUAGCCGGAAUACUUCAGCAUGGAAUAAUGGAAUAGGACUUCGGUUCUAUUUUGUUGGUUUUCGGAACCCGAGGUAAUGAUUAAGAGAGACAGACGGGGGCAUUCGUACUGCGGUGUUAGAGGUGAAAUUCUUGGAUCGCCGCAAGACGAACAACUGCGAAAGCAUUUGCCAAGAAUGUUUUCAUUAAUCAAGAACGAAAGUCAGAGGUUCGAAGACGAUCAGAUACCGUCCUAGUUCUGACCAUAAACGAUGCCAACUGGCGAUCCGAGAUCGUUUGCUAUUUGACCUCUCGGGCAGCCUCCGGGAAACCAAAGUCUUUAGGUUCCGGGGGAAGUAUGGUUGCAAAGCUGGAACUUAAAGGAAUUGACGGAAGGGCACCACCAGGAGUGGAGCCUGCGGCUUAAUUUGACCCAACACGGGAAAACUCACCCGGCCCGGACACUGUUAGGAUUGACAGAUUGAGAGCUCUUUCUUGAUUCGGUGGGUGGUGGUGCAUGGCCGUUCUUAGUUGGUGGAGCGAUUUGUCUGGUUAAUUCCGAUAACGAACGAGACUCUAGCCUGCUAAAUAGUACGCCGAUAUCCAUUUUGUCGGUGCCGACUUCUUAGAGGGACAAGCGUCUUGAAGACGC
rnacentral:rRNA from 1 species